rnacentral:rRNA from 1 species
UACGUAGGGUGCGAGCGUUGUCCGGAAUUAUUGGGCGUAAAGAGCUCGUAGGCGGUUUGUCACGUCUGCCGUGAAAUCCCGAGGCUCAACCUCGGGCCUGCAGUGGGUACGGGCAGACUGGAGUGCGGUAGGGGAGAAUGGAAUUCCUGGUGUAGCGGUGGAAUGCGCAGAUAUCAGGAGGAACACCGAUGGCGAAGGCAGUUCUCUGGGCCGUAACUGACGCUGAGGAGCGAAAGCGUGGGGAGCGAACAGG